ACUCAAAUGAAUUGACGGGGGCCCGCACAAGCGGUGGAGCAUGUUGUUUAAUACGUCACUAACCGUAGAACCUUACCAGGGCUUGACAUCGCUGGACCGCCGGUGAAAGCCGGUUUUCCCCGCAAGGGGACCAGAUGACAGGUGUUGCAUGGCUGUCGUCAGCUCGUGUCGUGAGAUGUUGGGUUAAGUCCCGCAACGAGCGCAACCCUCACCCCAUGUUGCCAGCGGAUCAUGCCGGGAACUCUUGGGGAACUGCCUGGGUAACCGGGAGGAAGGUGAGGAUGACGUCAAGUCAGCAUGGCCCUUACGCCCUGGGCUACAAACAUGCUACAAUGGACGGUAGACAGAGGGAUCCGAGACCGCGAGGUGGAGGCAAUCUCAAAAAUCCGUUCCCAGUUCGGAUCGCAGGCUGCAACUCGCCUGCGUGAAGUUGGAAUCGCUAGUAACCGCAGAUCAGAUAAGCUGCGGUGAAUACGUUCCCGGGCCUUGUACACACCGCCCGU
rnacentral:rRNA from 1 species